AUGCAUCCCUCCCAUUGCAUCUCCAAAGAUGGUACUAUGAUCUCUCUCUCUCUCUCUCUCUCUCUCUCUCUCUCUCACACACACACACACACACACACACACACACGCGCGCGCGCGCGCGCGCGCGCACACACCUCUGUGCAGCAGGAUCAGGCUCGACGCGUCGUGGGUGUUGGGGCGGGUCCACGCGGCGUCACUUUGCUUCUUGGCUCUCUGUCGUUCGCAUCUAUCGCCCACGCUGCGUUGCUUAAAAGGCCCUCCGCCGGCAUCCAAGGCGACGCCCUCCAGCACCACUCUCACAUAACAAGCUAG
rnacentral:rRNA from 1 species